UUAUGUUGGUCCUGAUGCAGUUCCUGGUGGAGUGUGUUGUCCAGCAUCAUAACAGGUUACAAACAUUGUGUUAUAGCCUCGAUUUUACAGUACAGACACCUGAAACAGAUUUGAAAAGUACACAGAAGGUUGGCAGCAUGUCUCUGUAUCUCACUGGUCAACACCAAGUGGAUGAGAUAAAAUAACGCAAUUGCAGUACCAGCAUGAAUCCUUGUAGCUCAUCAGAAGACUGGUAUGAAAUACAUCCCUCUGAGAGAAACAGCAGAAAGAAGUAUCUUUGCCAAAAUGAUGAAACAUCAUCCUCAGCGUAAGAACUUUAUAGAAUCUUACCCAAGAAUUAAUAUGGACCACAGCAGGGUAACACUCCAAUAGACUAAUGCCCAUCUGACACGCGGUGGCAAUGGUGCAGGACAUCGUUUGCAAAGGAACAUCAGAGUUCAAAAGAUUUUCUCUGUUUGAAUUUGGCACUUUCCCUCUAUCCUGCGGGGAGCCCAGGCUCCUCUGUCCCAAGUGCUUGGCACUGAUCUGUUUUCACCUUCCUACUGCUGAUACGGCACAAAGCCUGGAGACAGCAUAUUUGUGUCAGCUAAAGCCCUUGGUGAUUUUGAAGAGGUAUUCAUAAGGAAACAGCAACGUAUCUCAGAAAAGCCUCCUCAAGGUUAUCCAAUACACCCCUGCCUCAGACAGGUAUUGUAAGCAUUCAGCAGAGGUAGUUUAGAACUGUUUGGAAAAAAAAAAAAAAAAAAAAAAAGCACUGGAAGAUUUCACACUGCCCCAAGCAGUCUAUUCUAGCCAUCUUCCAGACAGAUCUUUUGAAUGCUUAAAUAGCUUCCCUGCUGUAGCUUAUGCCCUAUAUUAAUAGGCCUAUCCUAAUCAUUCCUUCUUGUUUGAAUAUUCCCCACCCCCUCUCCCCUAGUCCUCCUUUCCACUGGAAAAAGUCCCAGAUUUUCCUUAUCCUUCUGUAAAAUGUAACAUUUUCUAGAUACUUGUUUAUUAUGCUGCUGCCCUCUGGCUUCUUCAUGUGUCAACAUCUUCCUUGAGUUCAAGUGCCCAAAGCAAAAGUACUGUAUUCUGGCAGAGGCUUUCUCAUUUUUAGCACCACAAUCCAUCUGAACUACUCUCCCAGGCUAAUUUAAAAACUGUACAUAAAAUACUAAAUAUUUAGAAAUAAAACUUCAGCAAAAUCAAAUAUUGAGUAUUUGAGCAGGCAAACUCACAUGUACCAAAGUAAUUUUCUUUUCAGAUGGUUAGUUAGGUUAAAAACAAGGCAGCUUGUCAUAUAAAAUUCAGUAGCUGUAAGUGUAGGCCAGUGAAAGACCUACAGGAAUACUGUGUUUCUCCUAGGAACCGAGAACCAGUUAGCACAGUGCUCAAACAAUAAAUCAGUUCUACGAUAAUUUGGCAGACAUAUCAGAGCAGCCAGUUUUAUUGGGAGCAAUAAUAUCUACAGAAACUGGUAUUAUUUUAAAGAUAUUAGUAAAAUUUUAAUCACCAAACAGCAAAACUUGGUGGUCAGGUAAUGUAUAAAUCUUUUGGUUAUUGCAAUAGGGCAAGUGCUGUUUUCCAUAAGGCUCUGAUAACACAAGCAACAGUGACUCAGUCACUCUGAGUAAAUCUAGUUAGCUGAUGUUAAGUCCACUCCUGAUGAGUCCACUGGGGCGGUUGUGUCAGCUGCAGUAAGUCAAUAAAGAGCACACACAGGAUUGUACAAGGAAGGCUGGACACAACAUGUCAGUUUUUUAUUAACCAAAAGUGAAGCUGAACCCCAGAGUGGUUUAACUUGUUAAAACCAUAUGUUUAUAUGGCAGAUAUUUUUCUUUCAUGUUCAACACUAUAGUGCAAGAACCAAACUUCGCAGCUGUUCAUCCUUUGAGAAUCAAGUACUAAACGUAAAAUGAAUUAAAACAAGGGUCCCUCAACGAAUCAAUUAAAAAAACAUUUAACUCAAAAGAACAGACCAAUUUUAAGAACUGUCUUAUUAAAUUCUCCCAAGUGAAAGACCUUUAAAAGCACUUGGAGCCUUGAGGUAGCAACUUUAUGCAGAAUUUAAUUCCCCUCCUGCCCUACAGAGCAGAGGAAAAUUAGUAGCGCGGUAUUAGCUCCAGCCAGCUAAGCAGAGUUGAGUGUUCUCCUAUGAGGUUAGUGACUUUCUCUUGCAUCUUGAAAUAGCAGUGUAGUGCUGCAGACCAUCAGGAGGAAAUCCACAAGGAAGGCCUCUUGAAAUAAAAUAUAUGGUUUGAAAAAAAGUGAAAAUAUCAGCAAUAACCGUUAACAAAAAUUAUCUGGAGUGAAAAAAAAACAACAAAGUGUUUGUAUUUUGGCAAGACUAGUUUACAAACACGUCAAGAACAAGAGUCCACUUUCAGCCAACUGAAAAGAA